ACCACGCGUUGGUUACGGCAAGAAGUCAGCCGACGCCAUAGUAGUUUCGGAUACGAGCUAGCUAAACGAACACCACGCUUUAGCAGGAAGUCUCACGAAGAAAUGAAGGGC
rfam:Saccharicrinis fermentans DSM 9555 = JCM 21142 DNA, contig: JCM21142.contig00134.